AGCGAACGCUGGCGGCAGGCCUAACACAUGCAAGUCGAACGGAUCCUUCGGGAUUAGUGGCGGACGGGUGAGUAACACGUGGGAACGUGCCCUUUGGUUCGGAACAACUCCGGGAAACUUGAGCUAAUACCGGAUGUGCUCUUCGGGGGAAAGAUUUAUCGCCAUUGGAGCGGCCCGCGUUUGAUUAGCUAGUUGGUGAGGUAACGGCCCACCAAGGCGACGAUCCGUAGCUGGUCUGAGAGGAUGAUCAGCCACACUGGGACUGAGACACGGCCCAGACCCCUACGGGAGGCAGCAGUGGGGAAUCUUGCGCAAUGGGCGAAAGCCUGACGCAGCCAUGCCGCGUGAAUGAUGAAGGUCUUAGGAUUGUAAAGUUCUUUCAGCGGGGACGAUAAUGACGGUACCCGCAGAAUAAGCUCCGGCUAACUUCGUG
rnacentral:rRNA from 1 species